GACGAACCGUGCGAACGUUAUUCGGAAUCACUGGGCUUAAAGCGCGUGUAGGCGGGUCGGCGCGUCGGCCGCUGAAAUCCCCCGGCUCAACCGGGGAAGGGGCGCCGAGACGGCCGGCCUGGAGGGACGUAGGGGGGGCUGGAACUUCCGGUGGAGCGGUGAAAUGCGUUGAUAUCGUUUGGAACACCAAUAGCGUAGGCAGGCUUCUGGGUGCCACUUGACACUGCUAGGACGAAAGCGUGGGUAGCGAAUGGG
rnacentral:rRNA from 1 species